CUUCCACAAAAAUUACCUCCGAUUCUUCAAAUUCUUCACCCAUCACUUGGGUACGGAGACAUCUCAAGGAUGUUGGGAAACCAUUGGAAUUUAUAUGCUAAGCAAAAUGAAUCGUACAAGGCACACUGUGUCAUUGAUUUCUUCCAUAUGCACACAGAGCAAUCGACUUCCACUCAAUCGACGAGACAUGAAUCGAACACCAAGAAAUAGCUUAUCGGUGGUUUUGAAAAGACUGCCAUUGAUGUGGAAAAGGAGAACAAACAUGGAGAACUAGAGUGUAUUCUUGCAAAAUAUAUUAUGCUAAAAUGUAUAAAGUGUUUAUUAACAAUAAUAUUCUUUUGGAAUGGAUUAGUGUUUUUGUUAGAUUUUGAUGUUUUUUUUCUUUAUUAACCAUUUUUAGUUUUAAUCUUUAAGAAUAAAUGUAAUCCGUAUUCUUUAGAAAAUGUUAUUCUUGAUAAUGUGUUGUAUAAUUCUUUAAACGUGUUUAAUAUAAAAAGUAUCUUAAAUGAAACAAUAUUCUGCAAGAAUAAA